GACGAACGCUGGCGGCGUGCUUAACACAUGCCAGUCGAGCGGUAAGGCCUUUCGGGGUACACGAGCGGCGAACGGGUGAGUAACACGUGGGUGAUCUGCCCUGCACUUCGGGAUAAGCCUGGGAAACUGGGUCUAAUACCGGAUAUGACCUCCUAUCGCAUGGUGGGUGGUGGCAAGAUUUAUCGGUGCAGGAUGGGCCCGCGGCCUAUCAGCUUGUUGGUGGGGUAAGGGCCUACCAAGGCGACGACGGGUAGCCGACCUGAGAGGGUGACCGGCCACACUGGGACUGAGACACGGCCCAGACUCCUACGGGAGGCAGCAGUGGGGAAUAUUGCACAAUGGGCGAAAGCCUGAUGCAGCGACGCCGCGUGAGGGAUGACGGCCUUCGGGUUGUAAACCUCUUUCAGCAGGGACGAAGCGCAAGUGACGGUACCUGCAGAAGAAGCACCGGCUAACUACGUG
rnacentral:rRNA from 1 species